GAUAAGAUCUGGGGGGUAUUCCAGAAAGCAGGUUAUGUGACAUACCUGGGUAUGUUUAAGGGUAAUAUGUGAGGCAACCCAAAUCAUUACCAAUGUCGAGGCAAAAUGGCCAGGAUCUGUGCAUGAUGCCAGAAUUUUCCGCGAGUCAUCAUUAUGCCAGACAUUUCAGCAGGGACAGUACAAUGGUUACUUGCUGGGGGACAGAGGAUAACCUUGUCUGCCCUAUUUAAUGACACCCUACCCUGAACCUGAGCCUGGACCACAGACACGGUUUAACCUGGCUCACAACCGAACACGGGCCAAGGUGGAGAUGACUAUAGGGAUCCUCAAAUCUCGGUUUCAGUGUCUGCGUGGGCUCCGGGUUAGUCCAGAGAGGGCAUGCGACAUUAUAGUGGCUUGUGUUGUGCUUCACAAUAUUGCCACUAUAAGAGGAGAGAGCCACCCUCCUUG